AGAGUUUGAUCCUGGCUCAGGAUGAACGCUGGCGGCGUGCCUAAUACAUGCAAGUCGAGCGAAUGAAUUAAGAGCUUGCUCUUAUGAAGUUAGCGGCGGACGGGUGAGUAACACGCGGGUAACCUGCCCAUAAGACUGGGAUAACUCCGGGAAACCGGGGCUAAUACCGGAUAACAUUUUGAACUGCAUGGUUCGAAAUUGAAAGGCGGCUUCGGCUGUCACUUAUGGAUGGACCCGCGUCGCAUUAGCUAGUUGGUGAGGUAACGGCUCACCAAGGCAACGAUGCGUAGCCGACCUGAGAGGGUGAUCGGCCACACUGGGACCGAGACACGGCCCAGACUCCUACGGGAGGCAGCAGUAGGGAAUCUUCCACAAUGGGCGAAAGCCUGAUGGAGCAACGCCGCGUGAGUGAAGAAGGUUUUCGGAUCGUAAAACUCUGUUGUAAGGGAAGAAUAAGUACAGUAGUAACUGGCUGUACCUUGACGGUACCUUAUUAGAAAGCCACGGCUAACUACGUGCCAGCAGCCGCGGUAAUACGUAGGUGGCAAGCGUUGUCCGGAAUUAUUGGGCGUAAAGCGCGCGCAGGCGGUCCUUUAAGUCUGAUGUGAAAGCCCACGGCUCAACCGUGGAGGGUCAUUGGAAACUGGGGGACUUGAGUGCAGAAGAGGAAAGUGGAAUUCCAAGUGUAGCGGUGAAAUGCGUAGAGAUUUGGAGGAACACCAGUGGCGAAGGCGACUUUCUGGUCUGUAACUGACGCUGAGGCGCGAAAGCGUGGGGAGCAAACAGGAUUAGAUACCCUGGUAGU
rnacentral:rRNA from 1 species